rnacentral:hammerhead_ribozyme from 1 species
AUCUAGCUGACGAGUCCCAAACAGGACGAAAUGCGCGUCCUGGAU